rnacentral:rRNA from 1 species
UACGUAGGAGGCAAGCGUUGUUCGGAAUGACUGGGCGUAAAGCGCGCGUAGGCGGAUCGGAUAGUUGGGGGGGAAAGCCCAGGGCUCAACCCUGGAAUGGCCUUCAAAACUCCCGAUCUAGAGUUCGAGAGAGGUGAGUGGAAUUCCGAGUGUAGAGGUGAAAUUCGUAGAUAUUCGGAGGAACACCAGUGGCGAAGGCGGCUCACUGGCUCGACACUGACGCUGAGGUGCGAAAGCGUGGGGAGCAAACAGG